rnacentral:rRNA from 1 species
GACGAACGCUGGCGGCGUGCUUAACACAUGCAAGUCGAACGGAAAGGCCCUGCUUUUGUGGGGUGCUCGAGUGGCGAACGGGUGAGUAACACGUGAGUAACCUGCCCUUGACUUUGGGAUAACUUCAGGAAACUGGGGCUAAUACCGGAUAGGAGCUCCUGCUGCAUGGUGGGGGUUGGAAAGUUUCGGCGGUUGGGGAUGGACUCGCGGCUUAUCAGCUUGUUGGUGGGGUAGUGGCUUACCAAGGCUUUGACGGGUAGCCGGCCUGAGAGGGUGACCGGCCACAUUGGGCCUGCGAUACGGCCCAGACUCCUACGGGGGGCAGCAGUGGGGAAUAUUGCACAAUGGGCGGAAGCCUGAUGCGGCAACGCCGCGUGCGGGAUGACGGCCUUCGGGUUGUAAACCGCUUUCGCCUGUGACGAAGCGUGAGUGACGGUAAUGGGUAAAGAAGCACCGGCUAACUACGUG